rnacentral:rRNA from 1 species
AAUCUUCCACCAUGGGCGAAAGCCUGAUGGAGCAACGCCGCGUGAGUGAAGAAGGNAUNNGGUUCNUNACACUCUGUUGGAGGNNNNNAACAAGUACAGUAGUAACUGGCUGUACCUUGACGGUACCUUAUUAGAAAGCUACGGCUAACUACUUGCCAGCAGCCGUGGUAAUACGUAGGUGGCAAGCGUUGUCCGGAAGUAUUGGGCGUAAAGCGCGCGCAGGUGGUUUCUUAAGUCUGAUGUGAAAACCCACGGCUCAACCGUGGAGGGUCAUUGGAAACUGGGAGACUUGAGUGCAGAAGAGGAUAGUGGAAUUCCAAGUGUAGCGGUGAAAUGCGUAGAGAUUUGGAGGAACACCAGUGGCGAAGGCGACUAUCUGGUCUGUAACUGACACUGAGGCGCGAAAGCGUGGGGAGCAAACGGG